rnacentral:lncRNA from 1 species
AAACUCAGCAAAAUGGUCUGAUCUAGUGCUAAAAAAUACUGCCUGAUCUCAAAUACAUCAUAGUACUUCAUCUGUGAGUCAUCAGAAAUCUUCUCUUCUGCUUUAUAUAUUUGGUUAUGCGAAGCCAAUUUAAUGCUUGCUGACUGGCAAAUGGAAAGAGAGAUAAAAUUCUGGUGACAUGUGGAAUUACACAGGAAGGCAGGAGAAGAUAGCUGACAAAAAAAAUGGGCGAAUCUCUCUCCAUCCUCGAUAUAUGCUAGCUUUGCCCUCCUACUCCUACCACCAUAGUCAACAAAAAGUUGACUCAAUGGUCAGAAUGAGAGUUACUGUCUACCCAUCCAUGUCACUGAGUUAUUUAUACACUAAGAAAUCCCCAAAAUACUUAAUUGGUUUUAACAUAUGAGGGCCUUACACAGUGCUAAUAUGUACUGUUUCAGUGAAUAGGGAUUGAACUUUAGUCUAUGGUGAGAAAUUUAAUUACCACAUACUUAAGAGUCAGUUAGCCACAGACCAUCUGACAAAAAAAACUGAGAGCAUGGGAAGCUGGUUAUAAAAUCUCUGUUAUGGCUGGGCUAUCAGUCAUUCACUAGAGUGUGAAUCUUUUACAGUGUUUUAGAGGAGGGACCAACCCAGUAGCAUCCUUGUUCACUCCAGUCUGUAACAACAGAGGGAAGGAAUUGCAGAAGCUGUGAAUAUCAUUUUCAAAACAAAAUGUAAAAGAUAUUUCUGAAAUGAAAAGGGAUUUUAAUAUGUAAAGAAUGGGCAAGAAUAUUUGAAAUUUUAUAUUACCUUAUAGCCCCAGAUAGUUUUACUUUAAUUUUAGAGCCUCCACUCUCUGAAAUAAGAGGAGAGAUUUGCAUCUCAUAGCUUAGUGUUUACCUUGCCUUUACCAAGGUCCUAGGGUUGGUAGGACACAGUUCCCCAUUAUCUAGUCUCAUGGGAAUCUAGUAUUACCUGUGCAUGCAAAUUGCCUUUAUUUCUAGGAUGUACACCUAAAAUAGAAAUCUGGUCUUAAUUAAACAUGUACACAUUGGAGUUAACAUCAGAUACCAUAAAAGUAGGCAAAUAGAAAUUUCAAAGGCAGACACUUAUUCUUGUCAAUAGAGUAGGAAAAAGUAUCUGACCUUAUUAAAUUUAGUAUAAACAAAUAAUUUUUAAAAAGACUCUGAGUUCCUUGUGCACAGUCAUGCAAUUUCGGUUUAUUAUACUCAAUACGACUAGGAGACUUGCACUACCCUUGACACCCUGAAGGAAUAUUAAAAAGGGAGAAUGCUCUCUGGUGGAAAAACUUGAGGUAGCCCUUAAAGAACUUAAGGAAAUUAAGAAAAUGAUUCAAAGACAACCUCAUACAGAGAAAAUGCAGCCAAGAUCUAGACCUCCAGUCUAGAAGCAGACAUCUCAGGCUGGACAUGUGACCAGAGCUUCAAGUAUGAACUAGACAAGAACAGAAGAAGAGAUGGAAAUGUAUGUAAAUCAAUAAUAACUCAAAGCUGGACCAAGGAAAGUGGUUCUGAAGUGAUGGUAAAACUUCCUAAGCAUCAAAGAAAUGGAUGGAGGGAGGAUUAUUUUAGGAGUACAAACUUGUCUGUGAUCUGCAGUGGUUGGGUAAAUCGUGGAAGAAAAGAGAAAAUAUAAAAUAUCAUCAUGACCUGGAUCAAAGUCAUAGUAGGAAAAACAGGCUUGGCUUUGGCUGUCACCACUUUAGCAUCCCCAGUGCCUUUGGCUUUCUCUCCAUUGCUUUUGGUAUUCUGGAUGCACACACCCACCACAUUCAUAUGAUCACAGAGGAAGAGUUCUGGCUUUGAUGAGCUCUCCCUAACCUAACCUACAAGGCACGACCUUGUUGUUUUUCUUGUUCUUGUUAUUGUAGUUGUUAUUUGGUUUUGUUUUCAUUUCUUUUGUUUUUUUCUUUUUCUCCACUACCACUUAACAUUGGACUAAUCUAGGGCUCAGUCCUUUGGUUUAACUUCUCGAGUUACCAAUCCUAACUGUAAUCUGUUAGCUUUAACAUAUAUCUUAUACCCUGGACUUUAAGAUUCCAUCCAACCUUUCCUUGGUGCUGGGAAUAGAACCCAGGGCCUUGAUGAGCUAGACAAGGGUUUCCCUCAUCUCAGCCCUGUUCUCUGCUUUAUCAAUACUCUUGUCUUUCCCACUUGGAUGUCUGACUGAAAGGAAAACUGUAACAUUCAACUACCGAAGUUGCCCUGUAAAUUUGGUCUCCUGUGUGUUCUGUGUCUUUUCAUUGGUAGCAACUCUGCUGUUCAAACUCUGACCAUUUAUUGUCAGGGAUCAAUCUUUUCAAUAAGUGUGCUGACUCUUUCAACUUUGUCUCAGUUUCCCUUUUACAUCAUAAGCUACUACUUAGCAUUACUUUCAAGAUUUUCUUUAGUUUUUAUAGAUACCUUUAAUAUCUGGGUGUGAUAACACACACUUGCAAUUCCAUCACCCAGGAGAAGUAGAGGCAAAAGGAUCUCUAUUCUUGGCUAUACUACAAGACUCUGGCUCACCAAAAAUUAUAUAUAUAUAUAUAUAUAUAUAUAUAUAUGAUAUGCAUACUAUGCAUACAUUAUAUGCAAAUACAUACAUGUUACAUAAUGUAUAUGUCUGUAUACAUGUAUGUACAUAUAUAAUAUGUAUCCCUAAUAUAUGUAUUAUUAUAUACACAGGUGAUAUGUAUUACAUAUAUAUACAAUAUAAUACAUAUUAUAUUAUAUAUACAAGCAAUAAACAGGCUAAAAAAGAAGUUGGGAAAAUGGUAUUUUUCACAAUAGCCACAAAUAACAUAAAAUAACUUGGUAUAAUGCUAAUCAAGCAAGUUAAAGACCUGUAUAAGAACUUCAAGUCUUUGAAACCAAGGAAGAUAUCAGAAGAUGGAAAGAUCUCCCUUGCUCAUGGAUCUGUAGGAUUAACAUAGUGAAAUGGUCAUCUUAUCAAAAGCAAUCUACAGAUUCAAUGCAAUUCCCAUCAAAAUUUCAGCACAAUUCUUCACAAACCUUGAAAGAGCAAUUCUCAAUUUCAUAUGAAAAAACAAAAAACCCAGGAUAGUCAAAAAAUUCUUGAACAAUAAAAGAACCUGUGGUGGUAUGACUAUCCCUGACCUCAAGCUGUUCUACAGAGCAAUUGUUGUAGCCUCCCCUCCCCCAGCCUUAAUGGUUCCACUGUUUACACCUGGAUGGAGCUUGCUGUUCAAUCAUUCUGCCACGCCCACUGCUGGAACCUGCCACUUUGCUGUUCAGAGCCAUACACGUGGUCACCCUGCUACUGGACCCCAGGACUAUUUGGCAGGAAUCCCCCCCCCCCUCCUUCAUAACUGCGUGUUGGAAUCGUAAAAUUGAGCUUUGAUCAG